GAUGAACGCUGGCGGCGUGCCUAAUACAUGCAAGUCGAGCGAACAGACGAGGAGCUUGCUCCUCUGACGUUAGCGGCGGACGGGUGAGUAACACGUGGAUAACCUACCUAUAAGACUGGGAUAACUUCGGGAAACCGGAGCUAAUACCGGAUAACAUGUUGAACCGCAUGGUUCAACAGUGAAAGACGGUCUUGCUGUCACUUAUAGAUGGAUCCGCGCCGCAUUAGCUAGUUGGUAAGGUAACGGCUUACCAAGGCAACGAUGCGUAGCCGACCUGAGAGGGUGAUCGGCCACACUGUAACUGAGACACGGUCCAGACUCCUACGGGAGGCAGCAGUAGGGAAUCUUCCGCAAUGGGCGAAAGCCUGACGGAGCAACGCCGCGUGAGUGAAGAAGGUCUUCGGAUCGUAAAACUCUGUUAUUAGGGAAGAACAAAUGUGUAAGUAACUAUGCACGUCUUGACGGUACCUAAUCAGAAAGCCACGGCUAACUACGUG
rnacentral:rRNA from 1 species